CCCUAGAGGUAACACACUCCCCGGCCCGUCUGGCGUAGAGCCAAUCGACCAGUAGUGACCGGCUUGGGCAUUUUGCACCUUUUAAAUACAGCGCCAGUUGGCGACCGCAUGGUUACGUCAUCGCUCGGAAACCCUGGCAGCCCUUAAAUUUCAGGUAUCACCCCAUGGGUCCAUCACUCCAGAGUUAAAAAGGCCAACUCAGAGGAACCCUCAACCUGGUACAGUGAUCCAGAUCCAAUCAACCUGCUUAAACUGACCCUCAAAAAGACACUGUCCCCUGAGGUCUCCAGCCCUGCUCCAGCCACACCCCGGAAGCUGGCUGGCCUGCGCACGGCAGAAGCUUGAGGAAUCAACGUGUGGACCGAGCCUAGGGGGUUGGAUGCAACUCUCCCAGCCCUUACCCCUUACUGGUGUCAUAGCCCUGAUCUUGCUUCUUGCUGUUAGGCUAAUAGAGACUGCAUCAGCAAACCGGACAAAAGAUGAAUGUUGGGUCUCACAUACCUCCUCUGAAUGGGAGGACUAUUAAGUAUUGCCUGUAUAUUAUGUUAACCUCUCUCACCCUCACGACUGCCACAUACCCACCUUGCCCCCAGGAUUGUUAUAAGACAAUAAGGACAGUAGCCCAUGGUAUCAGGAAUGCAAGGGCAUUCAGCUCCCUCACCUCCCUCCACAAAGAUUGUUAUAAGGGAAAGACACCCACCCUCUGCCAGUCGCCAGAUGCCCAAGCACAUAAGUUUUGGACCGUAGAAAUAACCCAAAAUAGCAGAAGCCCAUGUAACAAACAGAGUCUCCAGAAAGGAAAGCAAGUCUGCUAUACAUAUCUUCCCCAACUAGGGACAUCGGACGGGGGAGGAGUGCAAGAUAGGGCCCUUCAAAAGGUCAUAAAGGAUACCUGGACCAGGCUAAUACAAGCUGUAAAGGCAACCACUCCCCAGCAUCCUACCAGGGUUUAAACCUUUAAGCCCUUAAUUAAGUGCUUACCAAUUCCCAGCUCCCAACGCUGGGCCAACACUAUAAGUCCUUCACAAAGUGAAUAACCACACCCAAACCUGCUAGAUGUGCUUGCCUCUCAGCCGGAGGACUGACUUAGCCACUCCUAUCCCCUUGGCCUGGGAAGCUUCUGACAAUCUCACAACCAACACCACUUGUCUUGAUUGGACCCUUGACCACUGGGGUCCUUCUCACGAAUGCUGAUAAUCUAACUUGUACGGUCCCUGAAGGUAUGAAUGGCACUUCCCUAUGUGGGAGAAAUAUAACCUUAAAAAAGAAUACAACCCUAUGCUCAACCCCUGGGGUAUUCUA